GGAUGAACGCUGGCGGCGUGCCUAAUACAUGCAAGUCGAGCGAACGGACGAGAAGCUUGCUUCUCUGAUGUUAGCGGCGGACGGGUGAGUAACACGUGGAUAACCUACCUAUAAGACUGGGAUAACUUCGGGAAACCGGAGCUAAUACCGGAUAAUAUUUUGAACCGCAUGGUUCAAAAGUGAAAGACGGUCUUGCUGUCACUUAUAGAUGGAUCCGCGCUGCAUUAGCUAGUUGGUAAGGUAACGGCUUACCAAGGCAACGAUGCAUAGCCGACCUGAGAGGGUGAUCGGCCACACUGGAACUGAGACACGGUCCAGACUCCUACGGGAGGCAGCAGUAGGGAAUCUUCCGCAAUGGGCGAAAGCCUGACGGAGCAACGCCGCGUGAGUGAUGAAGGUCUUCGGAUCGUAAAACUCUGUUAUUAGGGAAGAACAUAUGUGUAAGUAACUGUGCACAUCUUGACGGUACCUAAUCAGAAAGCCACGGCUAACUACGUGCCAGCAGCCGCGGUAAUACGUAGGUGGCAAGCGUUAUCCGGAAUUAUUGGGCGUAAAGCGCGCGUAGGCGGUUUUUUAAGUCUGAUGUGAAAGCCCACGGCUCAACCGUGGAGGGUCAUUGGAAACUGGAAAACUUGAGUGCAGAAGAGGAAAGUGGAAUUCCAUGUGUAGCGGUGAAAUGCGCAGAGAUAUGGAGGAACACCAGUGGCGAAGGCGACUUUCUGGUCUGUAACUGACGCUGAUGUGCGAAAGCGUGGGGAUCAAACAGGAUUAGAUACCCUGGUAGUCCACGCCGUAAACGAUGAG
rnacentral:rRNA from 1 species